UACACAAUGAUUUCAAUUACAACAGAUAGGACAUUACAAAAUAGGUUAUUUCUACUCUCUACUCUAAACGCUGCUAUCUGGUGAAUGAAAGCAUUUUUGUAUGAAAACUCCAUACUAUCAGCAUUGGACAUGAUUUCUGAUUUUCAGCAAUCAUUUUAAGAACUUUGGGGCCAUCAAAAUAAAAAUGCAACAACAACUAAAAUCAUCAUCACCACCACCUUUAAUUUUCAAGAAAUUCAACAACAAAUUCAACUGGAAAAAAAGUGACAUUAUAAGCCAAGCCAAAUCCACUAGUAUUGGGAAAUACCUAGAAGCCUUGCAUUCUGACUAACCAGCCAUCAACAGGCAUAGAGAAAUAAGCUCCAUUUGUACACCAUUUCAAAGAUACAACCAAAAG